rnacentral:rRNA from 1 species
CAAUCGAACCCGGAGAUAGCUGGUUCUCCUCGAAAUAGCUUUAGGGCUAGCCUCGCAUUAGUUUACCGGAGGUAGAGCACUGAAUGGUCUAGGGGGCCUCACCGCCUACCGAAACCUAUCAAACUGCGAAUGCCGGAUAAAUGAUGUGCGGGAGUCAGGCCGCGAGAGAUAAGUUCCGCGGUCAAAAGGGGAACACCCCAGAUCGUCUGCUAAGGUCCCCAAGUACGCGUUAAGUGGGAAAGGAUGUUGGAUUGCACAGACAACCAGGAUGUUGGCUUAGAAGCAGCCACACAUUCAAAGAGUGCGUAAUAGCUCACUGGUCGAGUGAUCCAGCGCCGAAAAUGUAACGGGGCUAAAACGCGACACCGAAGCAGCGGGAUGCGUAAGCAUCGGUAGAGGAGCAUUGUGUGAGGAUAGAAGCCAGAGCGGGAGCACUGGUGGACUUCACAGAAGAGAGAAUGCCGGUAUGAGUAGCGAGACCCAUGCGAGAAACAUGGGCGUCGAAGGCCCAAGGUUUCCUGGGGAAGGUUCAUCCACCCAGGGUAAGUCGGGACCUAAGCCGAGGACUGAGGUCGUAGGCGAUGGACAGCAGGUAGAGAUUCCUGCACCACUUACACUUGUUUGACGAAGCAGUGACACAGAAGGAUAGGACGAGCGCGGUGAUGGUCAACCGCGUAGGCGGCACGAGGCUGGGGAGCAGUAAAGAACACUUCCCGGGAAGGCUGAGUGCUGACAGGACCGAAAAAGAGUAGGGAAGCGUCUGAGUUCACGCUGGCGAGAAAAGCUGCUAAGGAGAGUGUGAGUGCCCGUACCGGAAACCGACGCAGGUGGGCGAGGAGAGAAUCCUGAGACGGACGGGAGAACUCUUGUUAAGGAACUCGGCAAAAUGACCCCGUAACUUCGGGAGAAGGGGUGCCUCGAAAGAGGCCGCAGAGAAUAGUCACAAGCGACUGUUUAGCAAAAACACAGGUAUCUGCGAAAGCGAGAGCUGACGUAUAGGUGCUGACGCCUGCCCGGUGCUGGAAGGUUAAGGGGAAGUGUUAGGGGAAACCCGAAGCAGAGAACCGAAGCCCCAGUAAACGGCGGCCGUAACUAUAACGGUCCUAAGGUAGCGAAAUUCCUUGUCGGGUAAGUUCCGACCCGCACGAAUGGCGUAACGACUUGUGAGCUGUCUCAACAGGAGGCCCGGUGAAAUUGAAGUAUGUGUGAAGAUGCACAUUACCCGCGACUGGACGGAAAGACCCCGUAGAGCUUUACUGUAACCUGACAUUGGAUCUUGAUAACGGAUGCACAGGAUAGGUGGGACGCUGGGAGGUAUGGACUUUGGUCUGUACGGAGCGGACGUUGGGAUACCACUCUUCUGUUAUUGAGAUUCUAACCUCAAGCCGUAAGCCGGAUGAGAGACAGUGUCAGGCGGACAGUUUGACUGGGGCGGUCGCCUCCGAAAGAGUAACGGAGGCGCCCAAAGGUACCCUCAGAAUGGAUGGAAACCAUUCGAAGAGAGCAAAGUCAGAAGGGUGCUUGACUGCGAGACCAACAAGUCGAGCAGGUACGAAAGUAGGGCUUAGUGAUCCGGCGGUAAGAGAGUGGAAUUGCCGUCGCUCAACGGAUAAAAGCUACCUCGGGGAUAACAGGCUGAUCUCCCCCAAGAGUUCACAUCGACGGGGAGGUUUGGCAC